CAGUGUCAUGUCACAAUUAAAGGUGGGGCCUCUGGAGCCAGUCUUCCCAAGGUGAAAUCCUAACUUUGCCACUUACUAGCCAUGUGAACUUGGGCAAGUGACCUAAUCCUCUGCAUUUCAUCUCUAAAUUGGGGAGAAUAGAAGCAUCUACUUCAUGUAGUAGCCAGGAUUAGAAGAGGGAGGAAUAACUGGGCCCUGGAUAGAAUGUGAUGAAUGAAUAUUCUUAAUGAGAAGUGGAAAUAAUUUGUGGUUGAGAGCUGUGCCUCAGAUCAGAGUGACAGGAUACAUGGCUAGGCUAUAUUUUCCAGCAGAUUAAGAGCUGCAGCCCAAGACUCUGAAAUAUGAAGAAAAAAGGAGAAGAUGACAGCAUAUCUUUUUAAAGAAAUAUUUUCCAGCCAAAUGGUGCAGCAGAGGACUUCCAGGAAUUUGUUCUUGUUCUGUAUCAAAGGUGAAGAGUUCGUAGCCUUCAAGGAAACAAGAAACCAUGGGAUGGAGUGAAGGAAGGUGGCCUGGAACCAGCUGCUGAGCCUCUCUGAGCCCCAGUUUCCUCAUCUCUAAAAUGGGGCUGAUCUCCUCUCCCUCAGACUGUUGUUGCAGGAAUUAAAACAGGUGUUGAGUGGGAAAGCAUCAGUCCCAUAGCAAAUGGCCCCUGAGUAGUAGGAUCUGAGUUCUGGUUCUGGUCCUGCUGGGGUAUGGCUGGUUGAGAGGUCAAAGAGGUAAUUAAAAGGAUUGCCAGCUUCAUUAUUGGGAGCUGAGAUUCCAUUUUAGACCAAGA